UGCAGGAUUGUUCCGCUGCCCAAGACAGCAGGUACCGAUGAGGUUUAAUCGCGAAGGAUCGCGGCCCGCCGAGGUGGUUGCAAAGUUUCGCGCUUUGGCGACCCUCGCUGUCUUUGCGGACGGCGAGGGUCGUUCCUUUUCUCA
rfam:Coriobacteriaceae bacterium CHKCI002 isolate CHKC2 genome assembly, contig: {contig49}